GAGGGUAUAGCUCAGUGGUAGAGUAUGUGUUUAGCAUGCACGAGACCCUGGGUUCAAUCUUCAGUACCUUCA
rnacentral:tRNA from 1 species